GAUGAAGAACGCAGCGAAAUGCGAUAAGUAAUGCGAAUUGCAGAAUUCAGUGAGUCAUCGAAUCUUUGAACGCACAUUGCGCCCUGUGGUAUUCCGCAGGGCAUGCCUGUUCGAGCGUCAUUUCAACCCUCAAGCCCCGCUUGGUGUUGGGCCCCGCCCGCUGUGGCCGGCCCUAAAGACAGUGGCGGUGCCGCCUGGCCCUCAGCGUAGUACAUCUCUCGCUCCAGGGUCCGGUGGCCGCCUGCCAGAACCCCCCAACUCUGUGGUUGACCUCGGAUCAGGUAGGGAUACCCGCUGAACUUAAGCAUAUCAAUAAGCGGAGGA
rnacentral:misc_RNA from 1 species